CCCCGCCGCCGCGCUGGGCCGGCCCGCGCCCGGCCGGGUGUCUCUGCGAGCGCCGGCGCUGUCCCCGCGCCCUGAGCAGCGGCCUCGGGCAGGCAGAGGAGGGAAACCUGAACUCCUGAGUGAAUGCUAAAUAGUGCAUGGAAUUGGAGAGGUACCAUGACCCUUGCAAGGAGAUGGAGUAGGUGCCUAAGGAAAAGCUGAAGAUCUGGAAUUCCACACAAGCUUAGCCAUGAUCCAUAUGAUGGGGCGAUGUAGCCGAGCUGUGGGCUGACCGAGGUUUGCAUCACUGCCCUGACCCAGAUUGCAUCUGCAGUCAUCUGGAACUGACUACAUGCCUGAACUGAUAAAAGAGGCUGUGGAAAUAAGGAUCUCUGGGGCCUUGGCAAGGUGCUUGUGCCAUAUCCACCUGUCCUCUGGAAGACAAAAGAGUGAAGAUCAGCAGUGUGUCAUUUAUUCUGCAAAAACUGAACAGAUGAGAACUGCUGUGACAGCCAAUAGAAGAAAUUAAAAAUUAAGAAAAGGCUGGUAUGGAACAAGAGGAAAAUUAUCCCAGCAUUUUGCACUUUUUUGUAAUCAAAGUCCUGUCUUUGGAGGGUGUUAUAUCAACUACACACUUGGUGAGGCCUGUAGGGAUUUUCCUUGUGUAACGCCUGCAGGAUUUAGCCUUAGCAUGUCACACUAUUAUAAGAGUGAUGUCCAGUAAGCAAUAGGUGGACUCUCUUGGGAAAAACACAGGAAGAAAACUUGGUGAGAGCUGGAUCCUCUGCAGUGUCACCUCUCAUGAAGGAUUGACAAAAGGAAAAAAAAAAAAAGGAGUGAACUAAUAUUAGAAGGAUGGAUUGGAUGCUUCCUGUUGUAGAACAGGAUAAAAUCCUGUGACAUGUUCCUUCCUAUUAGGUGGGAUACUACUGCUUAUGAUAAAGAUUGAUUUCUAAAAAUCCAUUGUAAAGAUAUAGGUCAGCAAAUAAGACAGUGACUUGACUAAUUUUUCAUUUCAAAAUGUAUGAUAGUUUCAUGCCUUUAAUUGACAUCAGUGCAGUGUGUUGUUGAAUCCAAUGAAAUUUGAAUCCCACUAUGAAUUUGUUUUCCACAGAUUAUGAACAGAAGCCUUUGAUUUCUAUUAAUUAUGUAUUUUUGAGUGAAAAGCUAUUUUGUGUAUAUAUAUUUAAUAGCAGGAAAUGUAGCAAAUGUUUAUUUUUAUUAAACUAAUAAAAAGGAUAAAAUCUAUCA
rnacentral:lncRNA from 1 species